rnacentral:rRNA from 1 species
AAUAUUGCACAAUGGGCGCAAGCCUGAUGCAGCCAUGCCGCGUGUAUGAAGAAGGCCUUCGGGUUGUAAAGUACUUUCAGCAGUGAGGAAGGUGGUGCAGUUAAUAGCUGUAUCAUUUGACGUUAGCUGCAGAAGAAGCACCGGCUAACUCCGUGCCAGCAGCCGCGGUAAUACGGAGGGUGCGAGCGUUAAUCGGAAUUACUGGGCGUAAAGCGCAUGCAGGUGGUUUGUUAAGUCAGAUGUGAAAGACCCGGGGCUCAACCUCGGAAUUGCAUUUGAAACUGGCAGACUAGAGUACUGUAGAGGGGGGUAGGAAUUUCAGGUGUAGCGGUGAAAUGCGUAGAGAUCUGAAGGAAUACCGGUGGCGAAGGCGGCCCCCUGGACAGAUACUGACACUCAGAUGCGAAAGCGUGGGGAGCAAACAGGAUUAGAUACCCUGGAG